rnacentral:lncRNA from 1 species
UUAAUUAGAAAAAUGAACGCCAAUAAUUUCAAGUGAUUUGGACUUGUAAAAAAAAAAUGAAAAUCCAAAUACGAAAUGAGCUCGUAUCUGUCAGAUCGGCCCAUAUUGAAUCUGAGCCGUUGGCAGACACUAUAGCAGUUAGGCCCAUGAGCGGACACGGUAUUUUUCAUAUAUAUAUAUAUAUAUAUAUAUAUAUGAUUUCAGGCAACGGUUGUAUAGUAGUAUAAUGCAACCAUCUUCUAAACCAUGUUAGAGACAUUUGUUUGACACAAAUUUUUCUUUUAACUCUAAAGAACAAUCACAAAAAAAAAAUUUGAUAAAAUGUUGUAGAAAGUGUUUUUCUAGCCCAAUUAUUAUGAGCCGUCCAUUUUAGUGAGAAUGUUUAGAUAUAGGCCUCAUAAGAAUUUUUUUAUUCUCAAAAUUUUUAUAUAGCGUUAUCAUCAUUAGGUUAACAAUGAUAAACAAGAAAAAAGUGAUUUAGAAUUUUUCAAUGCCUAGAUCUUGGAAUUCACCAAAUAGACAAUCGAGAUUCAGUGUUGGAGGGUACUAAUUUUGACCAUAUCUAGGGUGCAAAUUGAAUUUCGUUUUUUACAAGAUUGAUUAUGAGGAUGAAAAGAAUGUGUGAGAAAAAUUAGCGUCAUGCAAAUGCCAAAAACAUGAUUUUCUACAGGUGUGGUGGCAUUGUACUAUAAUACAACCGUUGGAGUAUGUAUAUAUAUAUGGGAUUGUCUAUAAGGAGAUCAUUUCUCUUUUGUACAAAGAAUUCACAAUCAUUCGUGUCCUUUAAAUUUUAAA